rnacentral:rRNA from 1 species
AACGAACGCUGGCGGCAGGCUUAACACAUGCAAGUCGAACGGUUGUAGCAAUACAGCAGUGGCAGACGGGUGAGUAACACGUGGGAACCUUCCUAGGGGUACGGAACAACUCAGGGAAACUUGAGCUGAUACCGUAUACGUCCGUGUGGAGAAAGAUUUAUCGCCCCUAGACGGGCCCGCGUAGGAUUAGGUAGUUGGUGAGGUACCGGCUCACCAAGCCGACGAUCCUUAGCUGAUCUGAGAGGAUGAUCAGCCACACUGGGACUGAGACACGGCCCAGACUCCUACGGGAGGCAGCAGUGGGGAAUCUUGGACAAUGGGCGCAAGCCUGAUCCAGCCAUGCCGCGUGAGUGAAGAAGGCCUUCGGGUUGUAAAGCUCUUUUACCAGGGACGAUAAUGACGGUACCUGGAGAAUAAGCCCCGGCAAACUUCGUGCCAGCCGCCGCGGUAA